rnacentral:lncRNA from 10 species
AGUCAGUCUAUUUUGAUAAAAUCAACUGAAAAAACAUUUGCAUAAAGACUCAAUGUAGGGGAAAGAUUCUUGACACAAAUCUUACAUUAAAAGUCUGUUAAUAUUUUUAUUAACUUUUACAAGAUCCUGUUGUUUUUCAUUUACUAUAAGUCCUAAGUCAAAUAUGCCUCACACCAAGCAUCUGAAAAGUUAAGUACAGUUUAGUGUCACAUUUGCUUGAGCACAUUUGAGUUUCAGAUUCAUUUACCAUUGUGGAAUCUGCUUUUGGAUAUUAGAGAUGUUUGUUCAAAUACCAGAAGACAGAAUAAUACUAUCUUCUAGGCUAAAACUAAUUAAUUACUUUCAUAUAAUGGACAGGAGAAAUUCACAUCAGAUAGAUAUUUUACCAGUUAAUGGUGCAGCAGAAUAUCAAACUAUUUUCUUAAAAUGAAUCAGAUAAGAACAUUGCUCAUAAAAAAUAACUUUUUUGUUUGAUCAAAAUUAUUUAUAGUUUUAUAUGUAUAAUCCUAGUUUAUCCUGAGAUGUAUUUGCUUUUGCUUUUUAAACUUAUAAUUUAAAAAAAAAGAGAGAGAGUCAGAAGGUUGUUUAGAUGGAGACCAUAACAAACUUCUGUUUCCCUAAACUCAAAUUGUUACUCUAGUCUAUUGAAAUACCUGAUCCACUUGAGAUCUGCCAGUUCUGACAUUUGCAAUUCCAACCUUGGCCUACUGAGAAUCAUUUGGUGAACUUUUUCUAAAAGUUGCCAUAUAUAAAAAGAUGUAUAUUAUUAUUUCUUCUAAAUAAUGCAUUAUUUCUUCUAAAAAUGUGCUGAUGCCAUAAAAUGUAUUAUUGAUAUUUUUAUCAUAAAGCAGUUGAUUUUAUACCUUUUACAUAUCUCAAAGCAAGAGGGAGAUUUGAGAGACUCAAGGUAAAAGGUAUUUUUAGAGAGUAUAAAUUGGUGGUUGACUUUAGACGAAUGCUUCCCAAUGCAUAUAUAUGCACACUACACAUAUAUAUGCAUAUAUGUGUGUAUACACACACAUUUUUAUAACGAUACCUAAUUUAAAUUAACGUAUUCAAGAAGAUAAAUGACUAAAAUAGAACAGAGGCAUCUCUGUCUCCUGAGAUAAAAUUAUCAGCUUGACUAAUAGAAUAAAGCACUAUAGGCAUGAUUUUUUGCUUCCUUAUAUAUGCAUAACUGAUAUGAGUAAAACCUGAAAUCACCACACUACUCUUCUCUCUAAAAGCUUAUAGUAAGUGCUUGAUUAUUUAAGGGCAUGGGCAGGAUGUUAUAUAUAUUAAAUUUUGAGUAUAUGUUAAAUUUUUUGAUAUAAAAUUAAGUCACUGGUUGACUGUAAAAGAUUGUUGUUUUUUCUAUUACAAAUAACAGAUCUUUGUUUUAUAUCCAUCUACUCCUGCCUUUUUUCCCCAAAUGCAACUGGAGAAACUUGUGUGUAUGCUAGCAUCUAGUCAAUAUUAGUCACACUCUGUGGUGCUAGAUGCUAUCAAAUUACUAUAUUAGUAGUAGUGACAUAGCAACUACUAUAAUUAGAAAAAGAUGAAUGGCAGAUUUUAUGUAGGCCCAAGGGCAUUAUAUAGUCUAGGUUAGUGUUGUAGAUCAUAGAUAAAGCAAAAGUCAUAGAUUAUAAAGGGAAUGUUGAAAUUCCUUUAGGAUGGUGCCUUUGCACCACUUCUCUAUAACUCCAACAUAACCAGUUUUCCCUCUAUAGAGUUGGAACAGAUUAUAGUUUAGUAGCUCACCAAAUAAAGUACGUAGCUUGUAUUUACCAGCUAUGGUAUAUAAAAAUAUGAAUCAUUAAAUGCUAGUAUAAAGCAGUUAGUCUU